rnacentral:rRNA from 1 species
UACGUAGGGUGCAAGCGUUAAUCGGAAUUACUGGGCGUAAAGCGUGCGCAGGCGGCUUUGCAAGACAGAUGUGAAAUCCCCGGGCUCAACCUGGGAACUGCAUUUGUGACUGCAUGGCUAGAGUACGGUAGAGGGGGAUGGAAUUCCGCGUGUAGCAGUGAAAUGCGUAGAUAUGCGGAGGAACACCGAUGGCGAAGGCAAUCCCCUGGACCUGUACUGACGCUCAUGCACGAAAGCGUGGGGAGCAAACAGGAUUAGAUACCCUGGUAGUCCACGCCCUAAACGAUGUCAACUGGUUGUUGGACGGCUUGCUGUUCAGUAACGAAGCUAACGCGUGAAGUUGACCGCCUGGGGAGUACGGCCGCAAGGUUGAA